rnacentral:rRNA from 1 species
CUCGUAGGCGGCUUUGUCAGUCGGGUGUGAAACCUCCAGGCUCAACCUGGAGCCGCCACCCGAUACUGCAAUAGCUAGAGUCCGGUAGGGGAGCAUGGAACUCCUGGUGUAGCGGUGAAAUGCGCAGAUAUCAGGAAGAACACCAGUGGCGAAGGCGGUGCUCUGGGCCGGAACUGACGCUGAGGAGCGAAAGCGUGGGAGCAAACA